AUCUAGCCCCGAUAGCAGCGGUAUCCUUUUUCUUCCGCCGUGGCGGAAGGAAAAGAUACAAGCGAAUAGCGGGACAAGAG
rnacentral:sRNA from 1 species